AACGAACGCUGGCGGCAGGCCUAACACAUGCAAGUCGAACGCCCUAGCAAUAGGGAGUGGCAGACGGGUGAGUAACACGUGGGAACCUUCCCUAUAGUAUGGAAUAGCCCAGGGAAACUUGGAGUAAUACCGUAUACGCCCGAGAGGGGAAAGAUUUAUCGCUAUAGGAUGGGCCCGCGUAGGAUUAGCUAGUUGGUGAGGUAAUGGCUCACCAAGGCGACGAUCCUUAGCUGGUCUGAGAGGACGACCAGCCACACUGGGACUGAGACACGGCCCAGACUCCUACGGGAGGCAGCAGUGGGGAAUAUUGGACAAUGGGCGCAAGCCUGAUCCAGCCAUGCCGCGUGAGUGAUGAAGGCCUUAGGGUUGUAAAGCUCUUUUGCCGGGGACGAUAAUGACGGUACCCGGAGAAUAAGUCCCGGCUAACUUCGUGCCAGCAGCCGCGGUAAGGCACGACUGU
rnacentral:rRNA from 1 species